UCUGGGCAUGGUGGCACUUGCCUGUAAUCCCAGCCGUUUGGGAGGCUGAGGCAGGAGAAUUACAUGUUCAAAGCCAGCCUCAGCAACUUAGAGAGGCCCUAAGCAACUAAGUGAGACCCUGUCUCAA
rnacentral:sRNA from 1 species